rnacentral:lncRNA from 1 species
CGGAGACGCGCCGAAAAUGGCGGAAGGCCACCACAACAGAAGGAAGAUCGUGGAACAGGUCUUGCAACGUUCCAAAAACCCUUUCAAACUCAAAGGCACAAACUUGAAACAGAAAGCGAGUGGAGAAACGGAUUGCCGGAAAAAUCGGAGGAGAUCUCGCGGUGUCCGUCGAUCUGCAACGACUCUGUGACUCUGCGGAAUGUGCACUGCAACGGUUCGCUUUCUUCUUCAAUAUAUAUAUAUAUAUAUAUAUAUAAUACAUAUUGACAACAAUCCCCCACAUAUUGCAGAAGAAAGAAAAAGAAGAAAAA